UAACCGGAUUAGAUACCCUGGUAGUCCACGCCCUAAACGAUGUCUACUAGUUGUCGGGUCUUAAUUGACUUGGUAACGCAGCUAACGCGUGAAGUAGACCGCCUGGGGAGUACGGUCGCAAGAUUAAAACUCAAAGGAAUUGACGGGGACCCGCACAAGCGGUGGAUGAUGUGGAUUAAUUCGAUGCAACGCGAAAAACCUUACCUACCCUUGACAUGGCUGGAAUCCUUGAGAGAUCAGGGAGUGCUCGAAAGAGAACCAGUACACAGGUGCUGCAUGGCUGUCGUCAGCUCGUGUCGUGAGAUGUUGGGUUAAGUCCCGCAACGAGCGCAACCCUUGUCAUUAGUUGCUACGAAAGGGCACUCUAAUGAGACUGCCGGUGACAAACCGGAGGAAGGUGGGGAUGACGUCAAGUCCUCAUGGCCCUUAUGGGUAGGGCUUCACACGUCAUACAAUGGUACAUACAGAGCGCCGCCAACCCGCGAGGGGGAGCUAAUCGCAGAAAGUGUAUCGUAGUCCGGAUUGUAGUCUGCAACUCGACCGCAUGAAGUUGGAAUCGCUAGUAAUCGCGGAUCAGCAUGUCGCGGUGAAUACGUUCCCGGGUCUUGUACACACCGCCCGUCACACCAUGGGAGCGGGUUUUACCAGAAGUAGGUAGCUUAACCGUAAGGAGGGCGCUUACCACGGUAGGAUUCGUGACUGGGGUGAAGUCGUAACAAGG
rnacentral:rRNA from 1 species